CUCCUUCUCUCCUCUUCGCCUCGCUGCCCCGCGUCCACAGAGCUCAUCGCCGUCAGCCAGAGACACUCAAACCGGUUGCAGUUCCUUGUUUCCUCGUCUCCGCCCACCUUUCUGAAAGACAAUCAGCGGGCGCUCGCCCGUCCGGCGGCGGCAGCGGCGGUGUGAACCGCCGCGUUGACCCCGCGGCCGGGGGACAGCGAUCGCCAGCGCUGAAAGGGAUUCUGGGAAAGGUAGAAGCAGAGAAGACCGGCUGUGGGAAAAUUGACGCACCAUUAAGUUUAUUCCAACACUUCAUCACAGAAUAACUGUGGAUCAAUGGAUUGGGAACAAGACAAUCAGGGGGAUUCUCUUCAAAUAAAACCAGUUCACUGACUUAUUAUUGCUGCCUUACUUUAUACUUUCUUAGUAUGACUCCAAUUUAUCACCUGGAGGUUUAUCUUUUUAAAGUGAACCUGUGAGUAAUUAGUGAAGUUUAAAUUCUAUAAAAGUUAAUGGGGGAACAGUGAGCCAGAUGUGUCAAGUGAAAGGAUGUGAAACCACAAAUGACUAUUUGAUGCUUUCUGGGGAAAUGCAGUACAGAUAAAUGGUCUCGUGCCCGUCAGGUCUACGUUUGAUCGUCUAGACUAGCAGAGCAUUCGGUGACGUCAUUCAUGAUCCCAGCUGAUCACCGGAUGAGGCGCAUGCUGAACAUACCUGCUGGUUAGCGCCCUCGCUGUGAGCAUGUUAGCGUUUCCAUCAGAACGUGCAGCCGUGACUCCUGAAGACCUCCUUGUUCGUCCAUCACGGGGAUCUGACCCUCCUUGACCUCCUCCUGCAGGAACACGCACCUCCAGGUAGACGCAGCACUUAAUCGAUGCCGAGAGGUUCUCAGCGAGCCGACCGCACAACAAUCGAUCCGUGAGGAGCUUUGAUGCGCUAAAUGCUGUUCGACACGAGGAAUCAUGUGUGAACAACACCGAGCUACACGCGUGAUUAAAACAAAGCUCGAUUUCAGCAGGAAACAGACUUUGACUUUUAAUGAAGAACAAUGAAAAGUGAC
ensembl:lncRNA